rnacentral:rRNA from 1 species
GUAGGGAAUAUUGGACAAUGGGGGGAACCCUGAUCCAGCCAUGCCGCGUGGAGGAAGACUGCCCUCUGGGUUGUAAACUCCUUUUAUAUGGGAAGAACCGUCCUCAUUAAUGAGUGACCUGACGGUACCAUAGGAAUAAGCACCGGCUAACUCCGUGCCAGCAGCCGCGGUAAUACGGAGGGUGCAAGCGUUAUCCGGAUUCACUGGGUUUAAAGGGUGCGUAGGCGGAUAAAUAAGUCAGUGGUGAAAUCAACGGGCUCAACCUGUUAACUGCCAUUGAUACUGUGUAUCUUGAAUAUGAGAGAGGUAGGCGGAAUGUUGCAUGUAGCGGUGAAAUGCUUAGAUAUGCUACGGAACACCGAUUGCGAAGGCAGCCUCCUGGGAUAACACUGACGCUCAGGCACGAAAGCGUGGGGAGCAAACAGGAUUAGAUACCCCGGUAGUCC